UACAGAGGGUGCAAGCGUUAAUCGGAGUUACUGGGCGUAAAGGGCGCGUAGGUGGUUGUACAAGUGAGACGUGAAAGCCCCGGGCUUAACCUGGGAACUGCGUCUUAAACUGUACGGCUAGAGUACUGUAGAGGGUAGUGGAAUUUCCGGUGUAGCGGUGAAAUGCGUAGAGAUCGGAAGGAACACCAGUGGCGAAGGCGGCUACCUGGACAGAUACUGACACUGAGGCGCGAAAGCGUGGGGAGCAAACAGG
rnacentral:rRNA from 1 species